CGGGGCGGAGCGCGCUCGGGGGCGGGGCUCGGGGCGGGGAAGGAAACGUGAUGAUUGCGCAAGCGCAGAAAAUGGGCCCUCUUGGCCGUCGGGACUUGUACUGUUGGUGACUCCGUCUCCUUAGACGGUGGAGCCUGCGUGACCCAGAAAGGCCUUUUUGUAGGGAGGUCGAAAUAGAAACACUUCAGCCCCUCUUCGGCGAGGGAGGUUAGUUGGUAAGGUGCCCAUUGUUCACCCAUGGAAACAGGCCUGCCAAGGGCCGCCCCGCAGACAGCACUUGCCUCGGUGACCUGGCAGGACGUGCGGUUCUUGAGAUGAGUGGAGAAACGGACUCCCAGGUCCCUCUCGUUCUUCCAACACAGGGACAGCUAGAGCUGCUCCAAAAAUAUACCCUACUUCUUCCACAACCGUGAAUCUGUCAUUUUUACUGCACCAUCACUUACUUCCUGGCCUUCCCGGAGGAAGUGUGCGGGCCUCCCCGAAGUAACCGGCCUCGGGACCCAGACCAGGAUUUCCAUCAGCUCCCCUGGCUCGCAGGCCUUCUGACUUCUGACUCACCAUCAGCUCUCCUGGAUCCAGCUUGCCAAUGGCAGAUCGUGGGACUCCUUGCCCUCUAAUCGCAUGAAACAAUGCCCACAGGGCAGGUCUCACUAUGUUGCCCAUUCUGGUCUUGAACUCUUGGACUCAAGCAAUCCUCCCACCUCGGACUUCCAAAGUGCUGGAAUCACAGGCUUGAGAUACCAUGCCCAGCCAAUUUAUUGUGAUGGUGAGCUCCUUAGAGGGAAGUAUAGUACAUAUUUCCUCCAUGUCUCCAGUACCCAACACAGUGCCUGACGUUGAGAGGGCUCUUAAUAAGUGUUUGUGAAAGACUGGUAGAGCAAUGCCCUAUGAAACAAGAAGCUGGAUAACACUGCUUAGGACUCAGAGGAGAGAGGAGUGUGGUCUACACUGCACAUCUCUGCCAAGCCUGGCACGGGAUUUGAAGUUCCACACCACUGAGCCAAACACAUCCAGACCCUCUUCCAACCCGGGGAUCUGGUGGUAAGCAAAAUACUAUUCCAGCAAGUGAUGCCCCCAGUCUCCUAAGGAUAUAAGAAACAGGAAGUUGUGUUUGGCUGCGGACAAACUCUCUCAGUGCCCCUGGGACUUACAAGAUGUUUGGAAUGAGGAACGGCUGGCCAACAGAGCAUACAUCACUGCUUGGCCUCUGUCUUGUCCCUGGGCUGCCAACUGC
rnacentral:lncRNA from 10 species